rnacentral:rRNA from 1 species
UACAGAGGGGGCAAGCGUUGUUCGGAAUUACUGGGCGUAAAGGGCGCGUAGGCGGCCUUCUUAGUCGAACGUGAAAUCCCCGGGCUCAACCCGGGAACUGCGUCCGAUACUGGAAGGCUCGAAUCCGGGAGAGGGAUGUGGAAUUCCAGGUGUAGCGGUGAAAUGCGCAGAUAUCAGGAGGAACACCGGUGGCGAAGGCGGGUCUCUGGGCCGAUAUUGACGCUGAGGAGCGAAAGCGUGGGGAGCGAACAGG